GCUUGUGUGAUGAUGUAUUUUCUUUAGUCGGAUACCCCUUCACUCUACAUGAUGAGUGAGAUCCCCUAUCUGACAAGC
ensembl:snoRNA